rnacentral:rRNA from 1 species
CCUACGGGACGCAGCAGUGAGGGAUAUUGGUCAAUGGUCGGGAGACUGAACCAGCCAAGCCGCGUGAGGGAAGACUGCCCUAUGGGUUGUAAACCUCUUUUGUCAGGGAGCAACGCCGGCUACGUGUAGCCGGACUGAGAGUACCUGAAGAAAAAGCAUCGGCUAACUCCGUGCCAGCAGCCGCGGUAAUACGGAGGAUGCGAGCGUUAUCCGGAUUUAUUGGGUUUAAAGGGUGCGUAGGCGGAAUGCCAAGUCAGCGGUAAAAUCGCGGGGCUCAACCUCGCUCCGCCGUUGAAACUGGCGUU